AACGAACGCUGGCGGCAGGCUUAACACAUGCAAGUCGAGCGGGCACUUCGGUGUCAGCGGCAGACGGGUGAGUAACGCGUGGGAACCUACCUAGUGGUACGGAACAACACAGGGAAACUUGUGCUAAUACCGUAUACGCCCCUCGGGGGAAAGAUUUAUCGCCAUUAGAUGGGCCCGCGUCGGAUUAGCUAGUUGGUGGGGUAACGGCCCACCAAGGCGACGAUCCGUAGCUGGUCUGAGAGGAUGAUCAGCCACACUGGGACUGAGACACGGCCCAGACUCCUACGGGAGGCAGCAGUGGGGAAUAUUGGACAAUGGGCGCAAGCCUGAUCCAGCCAUGCCGCGUGAGUGAUGAAGGCCUUAGGGUUGUAAAGCUCUUUCGGCGGGGAAGAUAAUGACGGUACCCGCAGAAGAAGCCCCGGCUAACUUCGUGCCAGCAGCCGCCGUAAAAC
rnacentral:rRNA from 1 species